UACGAAGGGGGCUAGCGUUGCUCGGAAUUACUGGGCGUAAAGCGCACGUAGGCGGUCUUUUAAGUCGGGGGUGAAAUCCUGGAGCUCAACUCCAGAACUGCCUUCGAUACUGGAAGACUCGAGUCCGGGAGAGGUGAGUGGAACUGCGAGUGUAGAGGUGAAAUUCGUAGAUAUUCGCAAGGACACCAGUGGCGAAGGCGGCUCACUGGCCCGGUACUGACGCUGAGGUGCGAAAGCGUGGGGAGCAAACAGG
rnacentral:rRNA from 1 species